UACGUAGGAUGCAAGCGUUGUCCGGAAUUAUUGGGCGUAAAGAGCGCGCAGGCGGUAUGACAAGUCAGAUGUGAAAGAGGCCGGCUUAACCGGCAAGGGUCAUUUGAAACUGUCAGACUAGAGUGCAGCAGAGGAUAGUGGAAUUCCCGGUGUAGUGGUGGAAUGCGUAGAUAUCAGGAGGAACACCGGUGGCGAAGGCGGGUCUCUGGGCAGUAACUGACGCUGAGGAGCGAAAGCGUGGGGAGCGAACAGG
rnacentral:rRNA from 1 species